UACGAAGGGGGCUAGCGUUGCUCGGAAUCACUGGGCGUAAAGGGUGCGUAGGCGGGUCUUUAAGUCAGGGGUGAAAUCCUGGAGCUCAACUCCAGAACUGCCUUUGAUACUGAGGAUCUUGAGUACGGGAGAGGUGAGUGGAACUGCGAGUGUAGAGGUGAAAUUCGUAGAUAUUCGCAAGAACACCAGUGGCGAAGGCGGCUCACUGGCUCGUAACUGACGCUCAUGCACGACAGCGUGGGGAUCAAACAGG
rnacentral:rRNA from 1 species